GACGAACGCUGGCGGCGUGCUUAACACAUGCAAGUCGAACGGUAAGGCCCUUCGGGGUACACGAGUGGCGAACGGGUGAGUAACACGUGGGUGUUCUGCCCUGCACUUCGGGAUAAGCCUGUGACACUGGGUCUAAUACCGGAUAGGACCACUGCCUGCAUGGGUGGGGGUGGAAAGCUUUUGCGGUGUGGGAUGGGCCCGCGGCCUAUCAGCUAGUUGGUGGGGUGAUGGCCUACCAAGGCGACGACGGGUAGCCGGCCUGAGAGGGUGACCGGCCACACUGGGACUGAGAUACGGCCCAGACUCCUACGGGAGGCAGCAGUGGGGAAUAUUGCACAAUGGGCGCAAGCCUGAUGCAGCGACGCCGCGUGAGGGAUGACGGCCUUCGGGUUGUAAACCUCUUUCAGCACCGACGAAGCGCAAGUGACGGUAGGUGCAGAAGAAGGACCGGCCAACUACGUGCCAGCCGCCGCAGUAA
rnacentral:rRNA from 1 species